rnacentral:lncRNA from 1 species
CAAAGCCAGCUGUUUUUAAGUUCCAUUAGGAGCCAGUAUUAAAAUAAAAGUAAAUAUUAAGUCUGAACUUACUUCUAUUUUACAAAUAUUGUCAUUGAUUUUUAAAAAUACUUUGCCUGAUUUAUCUUUUCAAUUUCAACUUCUUCAACUUGAUUGUAAAAUAUUUUUUCUUCUCAUUUUGUGUGUCAAAUAGAACGUGUUUCUCCCCGGAAAUAAGAUUCUUUGAGCUACCCUCAUGACUUCAGCUACCACAUCUUCCUUUCGAAGACUCCAAAAUAUCCUAAAGAAGUGUUGGGGUGGAAAGAGGAUGGAGAAUAGUGCUCCACCAUGCAGACGUUCUAAUCUCGAUGACCCAGACAAUCUCCACAUCUGGUCUUAGAUUGACAGAACUGAAUCUCUACGACAUAACGUUGUCAUGUGGAUCACAUGGGCCUCCAGCCCUCCCAGGUUUAGGCUGCAGACAAGUAGUUAAUGAACAGGUCAAGUGCCUGGAGCACCCUUCUAAGACUGCAUUCAGUCAUUACCAAGAUAAUCAAUUGAGACUGAAGAAAGAGAAAUUAAGGAGCCAAUCCCAUUUACAAUUGCACCCAGGCAUAAGAUACCUAGGAAUAAACCUAACCAAAGAGGUAAAGGAUCUAUACCCUAAAAACUACAGAACACUUCUGAAAGAAAUUGAGGAAGACACAAAGAGAUGGAAAAGCAUUCAAGGCUCAUGG